rnacentral:tRNA from 1 species
GCCUGGGUGGCUCAGUUGGUUAAGCAUCUGACUACGGCUCAGGUUGUGAUCUUGUGGUUUGUGGGUUCGAGCCCCACGUCGGGCU